CAAGUCGAACGCGAAAGUCCCCUUCGGGGGGCGAGUAGAGUGGCGCACGGGUGAGUAACACGUAGGUAAUCUACCUUUGGAUUGGGAAUAACCACCGGAAACGGUGGCUAAUACCGAAUAAUGCAGCGGCACCUAAUGGUGACAGUUGUUAAAGCGGGGGAUCGCAAGACCUCGCGUCUGAAGAGGAGCCUGCGGCAGAUUAGCUAGUUGGUAAGGUAACGGCUUACCAAGGCGAUGAUCUGUAGCCGGCCUGAGAGGGCGGUCGGCCACACUGACACUGACAUACGGGUCAGACUCCUACGGGAGGCAGCAGUCGGGAAUUUUGGGCAAUGGGCGAAAGCCUGACCCAGCAACGCCGCGUGAAGGAUGAAAUCCCUCGGGAUGUAAACUUCGCAAGAACGGGAAGAAUAAGUAAGAGCUAACAUCUCUUACGAUGACGGUACUGUUUGUAAGCUCCGGCUAACUCCGUGCCAGCAGCCGCGGUAAUACGGGGGGAGCAAGCGUUGUUCGGAUUUACUGGGCGUAAAGGGCGCGUAGGCGGCACCGCAAGUCGACUGUGAAAUCUCCGGGCUUAACUCGGAAAGGUCAGCCGAUACUGCGGGGCUAGAGUGCAGAAGGGGCAACUGGAAUUCUCGGUGUAGCGGUGAAAUGCGUAGAUAUCGAGAGGAACACCUGCGGCGAAGGCGGGUUGCUGGGCUGACACUGACGCUGAUGCGCGAAAGCUAGGGGAGCGAACGGGAUUAGAUACCCCGGUAGUCCUAGCCUUAAACGAUGAAUGCUUGGUGUCUGGGGUUUUAUAGUCCCCGGGUGCCGUCGCUAACGCUUUAAGCAUUCCGCCUGGGGGAGUACGGUC
rnacentral:rRNA from 1 species